ensembl:lncRNA
CAUGUAUAGCAGUGGAAAAGAUUUUUGGUACUUUGGUACAAAUUUUUUGGUACAUUUUAAAUCCAAAUUAAAUCCUCAUUAAUCACUCUCUCACUGCCAUAAUCCAGGCAUACUGUAGUUUAUUAUUAUAAUCAUUUAUUAUUUUCAUUACUGAAUUCAUUAUUCAUUGCUGCAUUCCAGCAAAUAUAUAUUUUUAAUAAAAUGAAUUUUAUUGAAUCGUAAUAAUUCUGAGCAGACAUGCUUUCAAUACACAUCUGCUAUAAUGAAUGUGUUUUCCAUCUAGAUGUUUAAUCCGAAUACUUUGCCUCCCGGCCCGGAGGGGACACAGUCUGGAGAGGUCAGAUCCUCAUUUGAUACCUUAUCACUUCUCCUUUAAAGCUGCUUCAUCCUGUCACGCCCCACUCCUUCACCCAUGAAUGCAUAUUAACACGGUUAUAACCACACAUAUGCUCACUUGUACACUUACUACCUCUGAAACACACACACAUUGUAACUUGCAUCUCUAACUGUAUUCUAUGAUUAUGAGCUUUGAUUAUGAUCACACAGAGAGCAUGAGUGUGUGGGAGCGUGUCUGAGGACUACACGCUGCUGAGGCGUGAUGUAAUCCUAUUUUAAUGAUUGACGAGAUGUGUGAUUUAAGAUGGCGCUGCAUGGGAUUAAUUGGGGUUUGUGGUGUUUUUGUUUGUUUGUUUGUUUGUUUCAUUUAUUCCUGCUGUUCUAGCUGUCACGUUCUAGCUCAAUGAGUUCUCUAUCACGAGAAGUGAGUCAGCAUUUAAAUCAGGUUCCUGCUCAGCCACCAACGCAAGGAGCUCCGCCUGCAGGAGGCGUGACCUUUUAUAACCCCUCCCAGUUCGCGCAGUCUGUUCCCACAAGCCGUGCUCGAUCUGGUCGUCUGGGACAGAGAGGAUACCCCACAAUCAAAUAAGAGCAUCACUGUAGUUCUAGAUCAAACUGUGGUUCUAGACCAGAUCGGACUGAAGUUUGCUUCCUGCCUGGACUCCUGGAAGAGCUGGCAUGCAGCCCUCAGCCGCCCGAAUAACGUAAUCAUUGCUGUCAUGAUCAUGGUUUGCCCAUCCGUGCUGAAGUCGGAGCGAAUGAAUUGGACUCGUCAUCAUCUGUUUCUUCUUCUAGACUCAUCAUACCCAUUACAGUCUAACUCUACCGUCUUGUUCUGCAUUUGUACGGACCAGCGGCGCGUCCUCAAUGUGAGCAGUGUGAAUAUAAGUGCAAUAUGUUGAUUUUUAGCCCUGUGUAGUUUGAUUUCCUUUAGUAGUCUGCUCAUUUCAGCAGGGUGAGUGUGAGUGUGUUUGCAUGCGUGAGUGGGGAGGAAAUGUGGGCGUGUCUUGCUGAUGGACGCCAGCCAAUGCAUGAGUUAGAGGGUGGUCUGACCUGUUGUCAUGGGAACAGUGCAGCGUACCAGAAUGUUUUAGAUAUUUAUUAAGCUUCCGGUCAAAACACCAUCGCCGGACAGGAAAUCGUACAUCAGAGUGAGUUUGUGUACCCUCUCAUCUCUUUUACCGUCUCCUGAAUGAAUCCUUCAUUUUGCCAGUAGCAAAGAAUCAUACAUUUAUAUGAUUUACCAAAAUCCUGUGAUCAUUGUGCGUGUUUUGCUCAUAAAAUAUCAUUUAUUAUUUUCCUGGCUUCAUCUCGCUCUCUGAUCGGUCGUCUUCGUGUCUCUUAAUCACAUGCUGUUUUUGCUUUGCUCGUUCCGGGGUCCUUGUUCCCAUGGUAACAGCGGGGUUUUGUAAUUCCAAAGGUCUGCUCUGUUUGAAGGAAGCUCUGACUUUUCCAAUGUGUUUAGAAAUUGACUGUACAAUUCUUGAUAAAGUGAUAAUAAAGAUAUUUUUGAGCUCUUUAAUGUUUCAUAUUAUUUCAUAAUACAGUUAUUAUGAGG